GCUGGGUGUGGUCGCUCACGCCUAUAGUCCCAGCUACUCGGGAGGCUGAGAUGGGAGGAUUGCUUGAACCCAGGAACUUGAGGCUGCAGUGAGCCCUGAUUGCACCACUGCACUUCAGCCUGGGUGACAGAGCGAGACCCUAUCUCAA
ensembl:misc_RNA Metazoa_SRP Metazoan signal recognition particle RNA